rnacentral:rRNA from 1 species
UACGGGGGGGAGCAAGCGUUGUUCGGAUUUACUGGGCGUAAAGGGCGCGUAGGCGGCGUGACAAGUCACUUGUGAAAUCUCCGGGCUUAACUCGGAACGGUCAAGUGAUACUGUCGUGCUAGAGUACAGAAGGGGGCAACUGGAAUUCUCGGUGUAGCGGUGAAAUGCGUAGAUAUCGAGAGGAACACCUGCGGCGAAGGCGGGGUUGCUGGGCUGAUACUGACGCUGAGGCGCGAAAGCUAGGGGAGCGAACGGG